CGUGGACCAGACGAGGACUAAAUGAGGACCUGACAAAGACCAAACAACGACUGGAAGAGGACUAAACGAGGACUGGACAAGGACCAAACAAGGACCAGACAAGGACCAAAUGAGGACUAAAUGAGGACCGGACAAAGUCCAGACGACGACUGGACGAGGACUAAACGAGGACCAAAUGAGGACCGGACGAGGACAAAACGAGGACUGGACAAAGACCAGGCAAUGACUGGACGAGGACCAGACAAGGACCAAACGAGGAUCAGAUGAUGACUAAACAAGGACCAGACGAAGACCAGACGACGACUGGAUGAGGACUAAACGAGGACCGGACAAGGACCAGACGAGGACUAAAUGAGGACCGGACAAAGACCAGACAAUGACUGGACGAGGACUGGACAAGGACCAAACGAGGACCAGACAAGGACCAAAUGAGGACUAAACGAGGACCGGACAAAGACCAAACAACGACUGGAUGAGGACUAAACGAGGACCAGAUGAGGACUAAACAAAGACCGGACAAGUAUCAGAUGAGGACCAGGCGACAACAUUCACCAACAGAGGACCAGGCAGGACAGUGGACAGCAACUAAAACCCUCCAGAUCAUUUGCUUCAUCAUCGUUUGGACCUUCAUCAGGGCGGGUUUCUACAAACAUCAAGAAUCAGAAGCAGUGAGUGCUUGAACAGUUUAACAAGAAAUCAGUUCUUUCACAAUAAAACUCCUGUUUGUUUAAUUAACUUCAACAGAACUGUCAGUGUUACUGGUUCUGUUGAUGUUCUGUGAGGUUCUGACAGCAUCCCGCUGGUCCACCUGACUCUUCACUGAUUCUGGUCUCGAUGGUGUAAAUUGGGUCAAGCUGGUGGUUCUGGUGUUUCUGUGGUAGAAAUGUUAGUUACUUUAUUUCAAACGUAUGAAAAAUAAUCAAAAAGAUUUAACAAGAUAACAAAAUGAAAGAUAAAUGAAAAGAAAUGAAGAACUUUUCCAAAACAUACUAAAACUAAUAAAAUCACACUAGUUAUUUCAAACUGACCAAAAACAAUCAAUUUAUCUAUUAAGUAUGUAACAAUUACAAGUUAUCACCUAAUAAAAACAACUUAGGACUCAACACUCACCCCUGGGGGACGCCACAAGUCAUUUCCAAUCAUCUUCACAAACAGCUUCCUGUCACAGAGAUAACUUCACUCAACACAUUGUGCCCAUGAUGUCGUAACGUUCAAGAUUAUUAUUAAAGUGUUGUGAUUUCUGGAGUCUGAUACUUUCUUCAGCUCUAAUACUAGAGUACUGUCUUUGUUCAGAGUUAGUAGUAAAUUAAAUCAGUACAUGUGCUGUUGAUGGCUUAGCUCUGAACCCAAACUCACUGGAAUCCUCCUGAAACACCUGCUGAGCUCCUGAUUCUACAUGAGCCAGAACCGGGACUACAUGAGUCCUGGUUCUGUUGUUUCAGAACCGGAACCACUGGUCUGAGAGGGGACCUGGUGAGGCUGAGGAUGGGACAGACCUACAGUUUGAGACCAGGGUGGACCUGAAUCUGUGAUUGAGGCCGGGACAGUCUCUCUGCAUGAGAACAAGAACAUGAGAGGAUUGGUGAGGACUAGUUCCUGGAACGUCAAGCUUGAAAGCUUCAGCUGGAGCUUCAAGGAGAGAAGAAAGAAAAAUCUGACUCCAGCUCUUCAAACUGAA